rnacentral:lncRNA from 1 species
GGCUGAUAUGAAGGCCAAAAGGCCUGUUGACUGGGGCUGCCUUUAACCCUUUCAUAUUUGCAGAGAAUGCAACCGUGUGACAGUAACUGAACACUGGUCCAAAGUCUUUCCAAAAGGUCAAGGUUCACAAGGAUUUCAGG